rnacentral:rRNA from 1 species
GAUGAACGCUGGCGGCGUGCCUAAUACAUGCAAGUCGAGCGAAUGGAUUAAGAGCUUGCUCUUAUGAAGCUAGCGGCGGACGGGUGAGUAACACGUGGGUAACCUGCCCAUAAGACUGGGAUAACUCCGGGAAACCGGGGCUAAUACCGGAUAAUAUUUUGAACUGCAUGGUUCAAAAUUGAAAGGCGGCUUCGGCUGUCACUUAUGGAUGGACCCGCGUCGCAUUAGCUAGUUGGUGAGGUACCGGCUCACCAAGGCAACGAAGCGUAGCCGACCUGAGAGGGGGAUCGGCCACAGUGGGAGUGAGACACGGCCCAGACUCCUACGGGAGGCAGCAGUAGGGAAUCUUCCGCAAUGGACGAAAGUCUGACGGAGCAACGCCGCGUGAGUGAUGAAGGCUUUCGGGUCGUAAAACUCUGUUGUUAGGGAAGAACAAGUGCUAGUUGAAUAAGCUGGCACCUUGACGGUACCUAACCAGAAAGCCACGGCUAACUACGUGCCAGCAGCCGCCGUAA